rnacentral:lncRNA from 1 species
GUCACCCUGGGGCUCCAGGGUGAGGCUGCCAGCUCCUGGUCGCUGUGCGGGAGCAGGACGGUGGGCUUGGUCUGGGGAAGCGAGGCCUCGGCCCAGAAACACUGGGUCUCACUGCCUCACGCCGUGCCAAGCUCUGGGGUCCUGUGACAACUGAACCAUCAGCUCUUCGUGAGGUUUCACUGGCCCAGCUUCAUCUGCAUUUCGACCUUGACGUCUGAUUUGAGCUCCAUUUAUACCAGAGAUGUAAACCAUCCAUCAAAAACUUGGCCUAAGGCAUUCUGAUCUCUCAGGUGUUGUCCGACAAGUGACGGCAGGCUCUGUCACGGGUGGCGCCCGAACAGGGACCUGAAUACGGGGGACCAUAGUGAAGGACACUGCGGAUCGUGAGCUCGGAUAAAUUAAGGGCAGUGAAUGCACUCGGGAGUAGCAAGAUGGGUAUUGGUAACAGCCAGCUGCUUUUUGUACAUAUGCUUAAAAAAAUGCUUCGGUCUCGUGGAGCAAAGGUAGGGCAUCAAUAAUUAUGUAAUUUUUAGAAUUCGUAGAGAAAGUUUGUCCUUGGUUCUCUAAAGAAGGCACAGUAGAUUUAGAAGUAUGGAAUAAGGUGGGGAAGCAACUUCAGGACUAUUACGAUGGUCAUGGACCCACUAAAAUCCCUAUAGAUGCUUUUAGUUUAUGGGCUUUAAUUAGAGAUAGUUUGGAUCCUUGGCAUGAGGGAGAGAGGGUUGAAGGACCCUCCUCAAGUCCUUCCUCGGAGGAGCCUGACAAGGCUGGUGUUCCCAAGGUUGUCCCUCCGCCUCCUAUAGAAGACUCAGGGUGAGGGAGGAAUAGUUCCUAGUAUAAUUGCUGGUCUUGAUCCCCCGCCGGUUGCAGGUCCAAGAUUAAUGAAAAAAACUGACCUUCUUAUAGCCAUGAUUAAACAUCCCCCAGGACCCAGGCCUUUGUCUGUCAAUUCUCGGUGUCUGUCGCCAUUACAAGCUACCCUGCAACAUGCGGUUGACAGAGGGGAAGAUACCCAGGGCUUUCGUUUAGCUUGUCCAGUAUUUGAGGAAGCUGAUGCUCAAGGGAAUAUGGUCAGAAUCCAUCGACCGAUAUCUUUUAAGCAACUUAAAGUGUUAAAAAUGGCAUGUGCGCAAUAUGGCCCUACCGCACCUUUUACUCAGGCUAUGUUAGAAUCGUUGAGCAUGGAGGUGCUGCCUCCCAGAGAUUGGAAACAGCUCGCUAAGGCAUGCCUGUCUAGGGGAGAUUACCUCCUUUGGAAAACAGAAUUUUCCGAGCAGUGUCAAAGAACAGCUGAAUUAAAUCGGGCUAAUAGAAAUGAUACUGAUUAUGACAUGCUGGCAGGAGAAGGGCAAUAUGCGGACCUCGCCAAUCAAUUACUUUGCUCAGAUACAACGGUGCAUACAUGCCCGGACCUGUCCUUGUUAUGUGGGUCACAUUAGGGCUCAUUCUGGGCUUCCCGGACCCCUGGCAAAGGGAAAUUGUGGAUGCUUAUGGAUUGACUGCAGCAGAACAGCUGUGGCAUCCUAAAACUAAAUCAUCACAUGCUCAAGUGAGGUGGAAAGAUCCCCUCACGGGUGUAUGGAGUGGGCCCGACCCGGUAUUAAUAUGGGGACGAGGGCAUGUUUGUGUUUUCCCGCAGGAUGCUGAAGGUGCCAGGUGGCUGCCUGAAAGAUUGGUCCGUUUUGCAGGAAAUUUUCCUGCCCCUUGGGAUGAUCCCGACAACUGUCCUGCUGAUAAAUCUAAUGGUGACGCUUAAUGAGAAGGUUUAUUGGACUUAUGUACCUGAUCCACCUGUUGUACAUCCAACGAGCUGAAAAAAUGGACAAGUAAUGGUAUGGGUGAACAAUACCAGGCUGUUGCAUGAGCCGGCGGCCCCUGACAAGAACAAGUUCCGAUUGUUCAACUAUACGGGAUCAGAAACUGGAACCCCCAUAUGUUUCUUCAAAAUCAACAGAACUGAUUGUAUAAGACUGAGCGCUUGCACCCUGACAGGAAGGCAGGUAGAUCAGUGCAAAGGCGGGAUCACUGGAGUCCAUCUACAUCUACCUGUGGGUAUGGAGACCACUGGUGUAGUGCCUCAGACUUUUAAUGCUCCAAUAAGACUAUUCCAUGGAAGAGAUGUGUGGCGGAUGCCUCCGUGAGAUAUAAUAUUACUGGACUUGAUACUUAUGUUUUGGACUGGUCUGAAAAUUCUUGUCAUCCCAAAAGAAAUGUCAUUGCAUGUGUCAUGUGCUCUUAUGUAUUGCUUGUAAGAAAUAUUAGUGUUCAGAAAAGUUAUGAUUAUUAUAGUGAAAUUUACUUCAAUUGUCAAAUAAGCAAUUGUGUCACCCGAACAGAAAAUCAGAUAAUGGUUUUGCGAAUGCGUUUUUAGAUUUGGAUCUUAUAGAUCUCCAAAAUGCAGAACCCCUAAAAUUUGAUGCAGCCCAGGCUGCACAGGAUUUUAUCGAACAAAUUAGAAAAGUUCUGCCAUCUACAUCUGCAUUUACGUGGUAACUCAUUUCCAUAGUAAUUAUUGGAGGAGGGCUGCCUCUUAGAUGCAUGAUCCUUCCGGUGCUACUGCAGAUGUUUGUGCAUUCUUUAAUGAGGAUGGCUGGAAGUAUUCAUGGUCUAUAAUUACAUGCUACAUCGCCUAAACCCAUGGUGUAAUUCCCUGCAGAGGCUGAUAGUCAAUGACGGUUAAGAGGAGUAUAGGAAAUCACCAACCUAAGACAAAGCAAGAACACUGUGAUGCUCUUGACUCCAUGACAGGUAAGGGAUUUCUUUAUAUUCCUCGCCUAAGACAGGCACAGUCUAUCUGCGUGAUCAAGGGACCUUGAUCAUAAUAUAUAAAACAGGGGGGAGAUGUGGAGAGCAGUGUGUGGAGAGCGGUGUUAGCCAAAGAGGCUCCAUUUUGAAUCUUACCCUCCAUUGUAUAGAGCAAGGAGACUAUGUUAUGAGGAACCACGUUCUUGCCAAAUUAGAUUGCCCUGGAACGUGAUGAACGUUCUGUAACCCUGAGAAACAAGGAAGCCCAUGAGGGUGGGGAAUUCCCAAAGAACUAGCAAACAAGGAAGCAGGUGUCUCUGGAUAAGGGUCAUGAUUAACAACCAAACUCACCUGCUGUAUAAAAGAGAGGAGAAAAAUAAACUUGGGCGCUCGGUCUCUGGGAGCCCUCCUGACUCUAUCUCUUUGUCUUUCUUUUUCUUCAUCCUCACUCCCCCAUUCAGGUACUGUUCGACAAGUGACAGCGGGCUCUAUCACCUAUGCCAAUGUCUUCAAGAGUUCUACCUAACUUAUCUUCCAGCAAGUUUAGUGUUUCUGUCUUAAUAUUUACAUCUUUAAUCCACUUUGAUCUUACUUUAGUGCAUGGUGAUAGGUAUGGGUCUAGUUUUAAUCUCUGGCAGGUUGAAAUUCAGUUUUUCCAACAUCAUUUAUUAAAUAGGCUAUCUUUCCUCCAGUGAGGGUGGUUGGCUCCUUUGUCAAAGAUGAGGUGGCUGAGUAUGUCUGGAGUUGUUUCUGCAUCUUCUAAUCUAUUCCACUGAUCCUCAGGUCUGUUUCUUUGCCAGUACCAUGCUGUAUUUAUCACAGUAGCUUUGUAGUAUAGCUUCAAGUUGGGUAUUGUGAUACCCCCAGCCAUGUCUCUGUUGCCCAGAAUUGCUUUUGCUAUUUUAGGUCUCUUCUGGUUCCAAAUGAAUUUUUGGAUUGUUUUCUCUAGUUUUGUGAAGUAUAUUGUUGAAAUUUCAAUCAGCAUUGCAUUCAAUCUAUAUAGUAGUUUUGGAAGUAUGGCCAUUUUCACUGUGUUGGUUCUUCCUACCCAGGAACAAGGGAUGUCUUUCCAUUUUCUUAUAUCCUCCUCGAUCUCCUUUUUCAGGGUGCUGUAGUUUUCAAAGGUCUUUUGCUUCCUUUGUUAGAUUGAUUCCUAGAUAUUUCAUUAUUUUGGAUGCUAUUAUAAAAGGAAUUGUUUCCCUAAUUUCUCUCUCAGUGAGUCUGCUAUUUGUGUAUAAGAAGGCUUUUAUUAAAUUCUUUUAUUGGUACAUUGUAGGUAUACAACACAAUUACAUUUCUCUUUGGGAAUUGUACCUUUACAUAAUGCAUCUUGGUUCUUAUUUUUUCCCCAUUCCUAGCCCUCCCUUCAUGCCCUCCACCCUUCCCUAUUUACAAAGACUUUAUUUCCAUUUUUUCCAUUUCUCAUCAUUUUUCCUUUCCCUUCUUUCCUUUCCCCUGCCCCUCCCACUACCCCUACC